AUUGAACGCUGGCGGCAGGCCUAACACAUGCAAGUCGAGCGGAUGAAGGGAGCUUGCUCCUGGAUUCAGCGGCGGACGGGUGAGUAAUGCCUAGGAAUCUGCCUUGUAGUGGGGGAUAACGUCCGGAAACGGGCGCUAAUACCGCAUACGUCCUGAGGGAGAAAGUGGGGGAUCUUCGGACCUCACGCUAUCAGAUGAGCCUAGGUCGGAUUAGCUAGUUGGUGGGGUAAAGGCCUACCAAGGCGACGAUCCGUAACUGGUCUGAGAGGAUGAUCAGUCACACUGGAACUGAGACACGGUCCAGACUCCUACGGGAGGCAGCAGUGGGGAAUAUUGGACAAUGGGCGAAAGCCUGAUGCAGCCAUGCCGCGUGUGUGAAGAAGGUCUUCGGAUUGUAAAGCACUUUAAGUUGGGAGGAAGGGCAGUAAGUUAAUACCUUGCUGUUUUGACGUUACCAACAGAAUAAGCACCGGCUAACUUCGUG
rnacentral:rRNA from 1 species